GUAACGCGUAUGCAACCUACCCUAUACAGGGGGAUAGCCCGGAGAAAUCUGGAUUAAUACCGCAUAAUCUCUACGGAGUAAAGGGGGCCUCUAUUUAUAAGCUUUCACUAUUUGAUGAGCCUGCGUAAGAUUAGCUUGUUGGUGAGGUAAAAGCUCACCAAGGCGACGAUCUUUAGCUGGUCUGAGAGGAUGAUCAGCCACACUGGGACUGAGACACGGCCCAGACUCC
rnacentral:rRNA from 1 species